rnacentral:rRNA from 1 species
ACGGAAGGCAGCAGUGGGGAAUAUUGGGCAAUGGGCGCAAGCCUGACCCAGCAAUGCCGCGUGAAGGAAGAAGGCUUUCGGGUUGUAAACUUCUUUUAAGUGGGACGAUAAUGACGGUACCACUUGAAUAAGCUCCGGCUAACUACGUGCCAGCAGCCGCGGUAAUACGUAGGGAGCAAGCGUUAUCCGGAUUUACUGGGUGUAAAGGGCGUGUAGGCGGGACUGCAAGUCAGAUGUGAAAGCACGGGGCUUAACUCCGUGUCUGCAUUUGAAACUGUAGUUCUUGAGUGCUGGAGAGGCUAACGGAAUUCCUAGUGUAGCGGUGAAAUGCGUAGAUAUUAGGAGGAACACCAGUGGCGAAGGCGGUUAGCUGGACAGUAACUGACGCUGAGGCGCGAAAGCGUGGGUAGCAAACAGGAUUAGAUACCCUGGUA